rnacentral:pre_miRNA from 1 species
AGGAGGAACAACCCCAGUGGUUGCUGCAGCUCUCGAAACCUGGAUUCAGCUCCCGCAGGAACUACUCUGUCUGCAGGGCCUGGAGGCUCCGGGGCGUG